rnacentral:rRNA from 1 species
GACGAACGCUGGCGGCGUGCUUAACACAUGCAAGUCGAACGGAAAGGCCCUGCUUUUGUGGGGUGCUCGAGUGGCGAACGGGUGAGUAACACGUGAGUAACCUGCCCUUGACUUUGGGAUAACUUCAGGAAACUGGGGCUAAUACCGGAUAGGAGCUCCUGCUGCAUGGUGGGGGUUGGAAAGUUUCGGCGGUUGGGGAUGGACUCGCGGCUUAUCAGCUUGUUGGUGGGGUAGUGGCUUACCAAGGCUUUGACGGGUAGCCGGCCUGAGAGGGUGACCGGCCACAUUGGGACGAAGAUACGGCCAAGACUCUUACGGGAGGAAGCAGGGGGAAUUAUUGCACAAGGGGCGGAAGCAGGAGGAAGCAACGCGGCGGGCGGGAUGACGGCUUUCGGGUUGAAAACCGCUUUCGCCUGUGACGAAGCGUGAGGGACGGUAAUGGGUAAAGAAGCACCGGCAAAUUAGGG